GUGAAUCAUCAAAUCUUUGAACGCAAAUUGCGCUCCCUGGCAUUCCGGGGAGUAUGCCUGUUUGAGGGUCAGUAUUAACAAAAAAUUGGUUUGGUUGCUAAUUGUGAUGUUUCCGGUGUUUGGGCUAUCUUCAUUUUUUUGGUUGAGGGGCUUAAAAUUGACUUUUUUUGCACAUUUUUAGACGUAACUAUAUUUUUUUUUUAUUCGUCUAUUCUUAAUGCCAAAACUUUAUUAGAAGCGAUUACAUCGUGUGGUUUCGUGCAUAUAAAAUUUUCAUGAUUUGACCUCAAAUCAGGUAGGG
rnacentral:misc_RNA from 1 species